CCCAGUUAUAAAGGUGGAGCCGACUCCACCUGACUAGUGGGGACCAGAAGUUUCAAUCUCCAGAUUCGGUACGGUAAGGAUACCCGAGGGAAGAAUUUCAGAGUUAUUUGAGGAUCUUGGAUACCCACGGGUUCCAUCCUUGCUUAUUUUGUGUUUCGUUUUAGUUAUUAGCGAUGCUGUCGGAUGAGACGUGGUUGUUUCUUGUGAAAGAAAAAGAAUUUGCUCUGAGGGAACCGGUCGCAGCGCUACAAUCCACAGGGUUGUUUAUUUUAAAUAGGACUCUGCACAGUGUUAUUUUUGACAGGAGACGAUGACCCUUCGGGGUCUUUUAAAGUUAUACUUUUAUUUACAUUCCUGUGUGCGGAGAGGGGAGGGGAAAGGAUGGGAGGAGCGUCCUGUGUGCGUGCCUGCAGGUGCACCAAUGCUCAGCAGAGGGCACUGCAAGCUGGGGAACAAGAGUAACAGAUGUUGUGAGUUGCCUGAGCAGGGUACUUAGAAACAAAUUUCAGCUAAAAAAGGUCAGCAAGCAUUCUUCAACUGCUGAGCUAUCUCUCCAACCCCUCGGCCUCUUGAUGUUCUUUGCUGGGGGUGGGGGUAGGGCGAGGAGGGAGGGGGGAGAACUGGGGGAUUUGAAACCCUCCUUCUGAGCUUUAAGGUGCAGGUAGAUAAUAUCUGCAUGUGUGGCACAAUUGAAGCAGCAGCAACAUCUCCCUGGCCUGUGGGCGAGUGGGUGGCUUUCAGGCGAGCCACUGCAUGGACCACCGCAUGGACUGAUAAGGCAGCUCUCCGGCUGCCAGCACCGUACAUCUGAUGCUUCGUUCUCAGGGUGAGUAGUCCUCCAGUUCUCAACGUACACAUGCUUGUAAUUUCACUGUGUGUGUGUAUGUGUGUGUACAUACCUAGGUUAUAGAUAAACUUCUCAGAGUCAGUCAAAUGUGAGGCCCAGGAAUGAAACACAGGUCAGAAGCCCCAGCAGCAGAGCCCAAUGAGCCAUCCCAGACACCUUCAUUUCAGGACUUUUGCUUAGGUCUGUAAUUGUACAUGUACAUGUAAUGGUAAAUGUACAGAUCACUCUUAGUAUUAGAAGCAGUGACGUUUUCAUUGUGCGUCUUCCUUCUUCUCCCCCUACAAUGGCAGCAUUGUCAAUCUAAUAUUAAGGAGGGCUCCCAUACUUUCCAGGAAGAACAUAUAGUAUCAAUUUUACAGGUCCAAUGAUUUGAUAGUCUUAUGGAUUUUCAUGCCCCAUCCUGAUUUGUCUGGUCGCCUCCUUCAUUGGCUAAAAACUCUUAAAGCACACCCACCACCAGUUGUGUACUAAGUAUAUAGCAAGGUCACACCUCCUAAAGGUUUCCCAACCUCCCCUAAACAUCACCACCACCUAGGGACCAAGUGUUCAUAUACAUGCGCCUACGAGGGACAUUUCUCAUUCAAACCACUGCAGUGCAUCACUGGAGGAAAGUGAAGUCAGCUGACCUUUGAAGCAGCUGGUCACCAUUCUUCCACAGCUGAAAGAACAAUGAAGUAAUAGCAUAUGUACACGAAUCCCUAGCACCCUUUCUUCACUCUCAGACAUUCCAAAAUCCCCUGCCCAAAGAAGGAUUUCACCUCCUGUGGGAGGAUUUUUUUCCACCUUACUCUCCCUCACAUGCACCCACACCAUCCUAAUCUAGAUAAUCCCCUUGUGGAAACCCCCUUUGUAAGUGAUUCUAGAUUGUGUUCAAUUGAGAACCAAAACCAACCAUGUGGAGGUGUUUUAAGAGGUAGAUGUGAUAACUUUUGCUUUGUUCUUUCCUGCAGGGAAAUCUCUAAAGAGUCUGCUCUGACCAUGCCCAGUUUCUGAAAUCCCCACUUUGUUUAGUCAGCGCUCAUGGAGAUCACGAUUACCUUUAGGCGUGGGCAAGCACAUGAGACAUCUUGUUAUCUGAGGCCUGGAGCACAUACUGUAACUGAACUCUGAGGUUCUAACAUGCUCCAGACAAGAGUCAUGAUGGAAAUGUGUCGUUUAAGCAAAAUGCAAAAUGCCCACAGAAAUUAAUCCUGCCUUUUAGAAAACUGACAUCAGCUUGGGUUCCAGUAGGAGAAGAAUUAGUGCAGGCCCAGAGGGCUUCCUGACUAAUCUCUCUCAGUCUGACAGUGCUGUAGUUGGUCAUUAACUUAGUUCUGUUCUUCCAGGUGAUUUGAAGAAGUCCUCUUGCUUGAGAGAACUGUCUGGCUCCCUAAUUCUGUUCCUGAUUAAGCCUAAAGUCAUGCUGAGAGAGAGAGAGAGAGAGAGAGAGAGAGAGAGCGAGAGAGAGAGAGAGAGAGAGAGAGAGAGAGAGAGAGAGAGAGAGAGAAGGGGCUAGUAGCCCCCUUUAUAGUGAGUCAGGCACACCUAGUUGCUAACAGGUAACUGUGGGGCAGGGCUUAGACAAAAUGCUAACAGUGGGGGCUGGGGUCAGUUGGACAUAAAGGACUAUAGAGACCCUGGAGGCCAGAGCACUCCCAUCCCCCUGCAGGUAUCGAAAACUAAAGCUGAGUUCUGCAACAUUUUUUCACUUCAACUGCAACUCAGUGGGCAGCUGUUUCAACAGACUUCUGCUUUCCCCAACAGAAGGAAGUGAGAUAGAGAUGUUCGUUUCUGGGUGGGUUAGCAAAACACCCUGUGUACACCCCGUGCAACCUCCACAGGACCACAGCCACAACUGUGUCAAACCCAUCAAGCUUUUCACCAAACCACACACACACACACCACUAGAGAAAGCUACGACAAGAGGAAUCAAUUUCAAGAAAACUCAAGCAUGUUUUUUUGCUGCUGGGUUGGAGUGGGACAGCACUACCUCAGUCACCUUUCUAAGGCUAAGACUAAAACAGCUAUGGUUUAUUUUUAUUUGUUUGCUUUAAAGAACUAGUCUGCCCCUUACAAACAGUACUUCUUCAAAUGCUGUCUGUUGUGUAAGAGGUUGAGGGCCAAGGUUGGGUGGAGAGACAGAUGGGGAAAUUCUAAUGUUAGCAAUUUUGACGAGAAGGAGGACCCUGAGAAUAAUGCAUGGAGCCUUGGGAUUUUAAAGGAGGAACUCGGGUGAACCGAGGGUGGGAACGAAGCCAGAGAACAGAAGUAGACACUUUUGACACUCUUCACAGGGUUGUUUACGGUGCACCUCAUUGGGGGUCUGCUCAGAGCACUUGCCUGCGUGUUCAGCAGAGAGUGGUGGAGAUCAGCUUUGUCCAUCUGUGAUCAAAAUGUAGAGAAACCUGCUAAGGUGUCUGGGGGAGGGGAAAUCUAACAUAAUUGACGAACAACCUGGGGAUUGGAUGGGAGAGGGACUCAUGAGGUCCCUCUCCUCACUGGGCAGCUAAUGACAGUGGUGCCAGGAAGAGGGGCAGUUCUGAGGAAGAUGGGCAACUGGGAAGGUAUAGGAGACAGGAAUAGAGUUGGAGGGGAUAGUCUAUGAUAUGAUCCGAAUCCAUUGUAUCUUAUAUAUGACAUUUUCAAAGAAUAAGUUUUGAGUAUACUUUUUAGAAAAAUAUGCUGCUCUAACAACCUGUGGUCCAAAUUCAUGACGAAUGCAGGACUGAAGAUGCCUGCGGUACUGACUUCAUUAGAAGGGAAUUUUACUUGGCAGUUAUGUUGUCUCCUUCUAUGAAGAAACAAAAAAUAGCAAAUUAUAAUAAUAAAUAUAAAAUAUGUAAAACCUUAUAAAGAAAUAUGAAAACCACUAGACAUAACCAACGCCAUCUUAAUUGUCAUUGGCUGUAGGACAACUCAAUGUGGUUAUAAAACCACCAAGGCUUCGUUCCAGACACUGCUGCUAACACCUGGGGCUGUUCCUUUUUUCUGCUUAAGGUUCAGUACUUUCCAGUAAAAACCGCCUUAACUGGCCUCUGCCCAUAUUUGUCUAACAAAGUGCAGAGAAGCUUUCUUGUUAGCACAGUCAGAUCUUCCUGAUUAACUAACUGUCUUUCAAGUCUCUCCUGAGCUGCAGGCUUUGCAGCUCUGCUUAUGUGUUAUGAGGAAGUGUGAGACACUUCCUCCUGUGGCAGUUCCUUCUUAUUCACCAGAACUCCAUAUUUCCUGAAACAGGACUUCCCUAUUCUGUGGAGAACUUCCUCUAUUGCUUCUUCCCGCUUCUGGAAAUAAUGGGUAGCUCUUUGCACCCAAAGCUUGGAGGGUGCUUCUUCUCUUCUGCUUUUUCUCAUUUACCUGAGAAGAAUUUUAAAUGGAUCAAAGGAAUGAAUGUCAGCCACCAAACCGAGAAGCUGACUUGCCUCUGAAUACCUGUAACUCUGUUAGAAUAAUAAAUUCUGUAGAAAACUAGUCUCCGUGUUGUUCAUCUUUUGUUGUUUUGUUUUGUUGCUUGAGGGGAUCAAAUAGUAUCCAAAUUACAUCUGCUAAGGUUUGAAUACUAAAUGUCUUCCAGAGGCCUAUGUGUCAUGCCUAUGACAGUGUUGGUUGAGAAAAAGCAGGAACUUAACGAUCUGGGGCUUACUGGAUGCUAAGUCACUGGUGACAGUGCAAACCACAGCUCUCACCCUUAAGGGAAUAAGAGGUAGUUUAUUGGGAAAGCAUUUUGAGUGACCAUGGCCCAGGAACACAGAUGUAGUUUACUCCAAAUUCCAUGUUUCAACAUGGAAACAGUUCUGUGAAGUGUUAUGCUUUGACAGAAUAAAGGAAGCCACAAAUCAAGCUUCUGAUUAUGGGACCAACAGACAAGGACAACUGAGCUACCCUCAACUAGAAGUAUAUAGUCUAAAGGAUGUAUACUCUGCGUGUCUUGUGUUUAUGGAAAUCAAAAGAGGGUGUCUGGUCCCCUCAAACUGAAAUUAGGGAUGCAUGUGAGCCAUGUAGGCGAGGAAUUACCUUCCAGAGAAGCAAGUGCUUUAAGCCACUGAGUCAUCUUUCCAGUUAUAGAGAUACACUGUAUAACAUAUCUUCAACCAUGAAGAUCUCUCUUGGCGCUUCUAGAGUUUCUAUAUCAGGUGCCCAGAUCUUGGCACAACUGACUCCAUGAUUGAAGUACCAUUCAAGCACUUAAACUCAGUACACAGAUGGUACCACCUGCCAAAACAAAAACAAAGACCUAAUCCAUCAAAGUCCAUAGUUAUGAGAAGGUCCCUAAAUGUACUAGCCUUGCUUUAUUUGAUUUUGGUAGCUCUGCUUCUGUCUAACUGUGCUUGUUAACAGAAGUAUGUCAACCCAGGAUGUGUUUUUUGUUGUUGUAGUUGUUCAUAAAGGCUUGGUGGUAAACUGGGAUCCUGAAUACCCAGUGUGGUCUCCAGCCAGCUAAUAAGGAUUUCUACUGGCUUAAAUCUGAAUCCAGGCAGUGUUCUCUGAUGGAUACCCCACAACAGUUUCUGUUUGUCUUUAUUUAGAAAUUCUACUUUUCUGGUGGAUCUUCAUGGAAGCUUAUAGAUGCCAGGAGUAACUUAGACACUCCUCUCUCCUGCAUCAGGGUCCUGACCCUUGGGUCAACUCAGUGCUUAAGGACAACUAUAUAAUGGUUCUAAAAUACAACAAAGGUAGGCAAACAAUGCUGUAUUAACUGGCAACUGACAGCUUUUUGUCCCUAUGAAGAAUAAAAACAAAAUAAAAAUUAAAAAUCCACAAACAGAAAGCCAAGACAACUGACAACCCAUCCUUGAGACCCUUUCUGUUGAAACAACAUAAGACUUUAGCUUACUGUUACCCACUCCCUGUGCUCCAGACAUAGUAAUGAUUCAUUUCAGUAAAUGUCCUAAAUUAGCAGAUGAGGACGAGACUAAUAGUUUCACCUUCCAGAUAAGCUUUUGGACAAGAGGUUAAUAUCUCUGUAAGUUCCCUGUAAGUGACAGAAGAUAUAGUCAAAUGACCUCCUACUUCUGUAAAAACAAGAAAAAGUAAGAACAAAAGUCACAAAAUUACUCCUGAGGAUUCUACUAGUUUAAAAUCUUUUGGUUUCUAUAUUACUAAUAUAGUUCUUAUGUUAAAAGUUAACUAUAAAUGAAUCAUGACACUAUAAAGAUAUGAAUAAUCAUUUAACAUCCAUUCACUUCUAAAUUGUUACUCACCAAGCCAGGAGUGGUCACAGUUGCCCUGUAUAAAACUGAAAGGAACACUCUUGUUUGGCUUGUUCUGAGAAGUCAGAAAAGGCAAUAAUUUCUGUGAGCACUAAUAUAAGAAAAUUCAGAGUCAAGAAUUCAGGUUAGGUAGUACUAGCAUGAUUUAGAGCUGAAAUUUCUGUAGGUGUCAGAUAAAUAGGAAAGUAAUUUAUAAGGUUGAGAAAAAUAUCUUCCAGUUUAAGGAAGUUCCAAAAUGGUAAAUGUGAGGUGAAUAUGUCUGAGACAUUACCGAAGCUCAGUUAGACACACAUUAUAAAAAGAAGGAAGACUAAAAAUAACUCCACUUAACUAUGUAAAUGUGAUGUCAGAGUCAAGGUCCUGACUAGAUCACAUGCAUCCCUAUGUCCAAUAACGGAUGCAGUAUAAAUGAGGUUUUCAGUACUGAAGAUGAAAUUGGGCCUUGUGAGAACUGUAUUCUUCGUUCAACCCAAUGCCAUCUGAGAUGAUAUGACCUGUGGCCAGACUGCUCGCAAGAAGUUGCAGUGUGAAGGAAAGAGGCACACAGCUAGAGUAGUGAUAAUGACACUUAGAAAGGAGAUUUGCUUCUUUCUCCUGACUUUUAAAAUUAAGGAUUUGUUCAGGAGACAAAAAUUAGUGACUAAUUGAAUACAAAAGGAAAAGAAAAAGCACAUUUGGGUUAGUCAUUGCUAGCCACCAAGAUAUUUCCAGUGACUAAUACCAAAGACUGUUUUAAGAACUUGAUAUAUUACAAUAUUUGAACAAGUAAAAGCAGAACAAAAAAAAUCAUGGAAAUUACUUUCCUCUGCCUCACUGCCUUUGGACCUUCUGCCUUUGAUAAUAGAUGGGUGAUAGAGAUGCUAAAUUAGUGAAGACCAUAAAAUAUAGUAUAUAAUGAAACAAAAUGCCACACCUUUUGCAGCAAAACAAGCCUGUCUUCAAUAAUGCCCUUGAAGUCAUGGUUGUUUCAAUUCAACAUACACAAAUAAACAGCGUAAUGCCUCCAAAGACACACUUGUCCCAAUCCCCAAACUUCUAUACAUGUUCCCUCACAUCACAGAGCGUCCUUUGAGUGUAGUGAAAUUAAGGAUAUUGAGAUGAAGAGGUUUUUCUGGGUUAAACAGACAGCCUCCCCUAAUCCUGGAGUUCCUCAUUAGAGAAGAUAAGAACAUCACUGACAGACAGAAAGCUGGAGGUGCCAUGCUGUUGGCUCUGAAGGUGGAGCAAGAGACCAUUGCUAUGGUAAACAGACAGUGUUCAGAGAUUGUCAAAGCUAGGAAACAGAGUUUGCUUUCAACUCACCAAAAGAAAAAUGAGUGUAAUAUUGAUUUUGGCCCAAUUCAAUUCAUUCUGAACUUCUGGUCUUCAGAACUAUGUAAUUAUGACAAAAACAAUUGCUUUAGUACAUUUGUAUUGUCAUAAAAUUUGUUAUGAGAUGCAAGGUUCAUAAACACAAGAAUGUCCAAGAUAAUUUAGGUGGCAAAUCUGACAUCACUUGACUUAUGAAUGAUGUCUUCUAGUUUUGUUUUCACAUGGUAGACUACAAGGAAGUAUUUUGUUUUUGUAUGUGCAUGAUUAUCUAAAUAUUAAUUCCACUUAUAGGAGCUCCUCCUCAUGACUUGCUCAUGUCUCAAAGGCCACAAGUCUUGAUGCCAGGACAUCUGGGUGUGUCAAUACAUGAAGAAAGAACAUAAUCCUUCUGACCAUAGCACUACUGGGUUUUUUUUUUUUUGUCAUUAUUAUAAACUAUUAGUUAAGCUUGUUCAAUCUCAAGACCUAUUUGGAUAACAUAUUAGGUACUUUCCUAGAUAUGUUGAUUCUGAGAAAUAAAAUCCAUGACUCAGGUAAAAAUUCCAAAAUAACAUGUUAACAUACGGAUGAUAAAGUUAUCAUUAAUUUGUUAACAGUAAUUCUGUUUAAGUACUACUAUGAACCUACUAGGUUUCUCUGCUUCUGUGAUAAAACAUUGAUCAAAAGCAACUUGGGUGAAAAAGCAAUUAUUGGCUUACUCUUUCACAUCACAGUCUAUCACUGAGCAAAAAGAUACAUGAACUGAUGGAAAAUUGCAGAGGAACACUGCUUCCUGCCCUGCCACACAUGGUCUGCUCAGCCUGCUUUCUCAUACAACCCACAACCACCCACCAGGAAGGCACCAGCCAAAGUGGGCUGGACUCUCCAACAUCAAUAAUCUGAUGGAGGCAUUUUUUUUUUCCAACAGAGAUUCCCUCUUUCUAAAUGUCUAAGAUUUAUUUAUAUUUAUUAUAUGUAGUGUUAUGCUGUAGCUGUUUUUCAGACACACCAGACAAGGGCAUCUGAUCUCAUUACAGAUGGCUGUGAACCAUUGUGUGGUUGCUAGGAUUUGAACUCGGGACCUCUGGAAGAACAGUCGGUGCUCUUAACCACUGACCCAUCUCUCCAGCUCUCCCUCGCCCCCAUUUGAUCCAGCUUUCUCCGGCUGGCUUGUUCCAGCCCUGCUACUUGCUCCAGCCCUGCUUGCUGUAGCUAUCUUCAGACACCCCAGAAGAGGGUGUCAGAUCUCGUUACGGAUGGUUGUGGUUGCUGGGAUUUGAACUCGGGACCUUCAGAAGAGCAGUCAGUGCUCUUAACCACUGAGCCAUCUCGCCAGCCCCAGAUGUCUAUAUCUUGUGUCAAGUUGACAAAGAACUAACCAGCACAUUCAUCAUGUAAAAUCUUUCUGGAUUGCUAAUCACUCCAAGAGUACUACAGCCUUUCCCUACAGAGUUCAAAUCCAGAAGUUUUGUGCAGGGAUAAGCACAGUUACUCCAGACUCUCAUCAUCAAUUUUGCCUGAGAAAAAGUCCUGAGAGUCUCCCUCAAACUCCAGAAUAUUGACUGUCAAAGUCUUCUCACACUAUAG